AUUGAACGCUGGCGGCAGGCCUAACACAUGCAAGUCGAACGAGUGGCGGACGGGUGAGUAAUGUUUGGGAAUCUACCUUAUGGAUGGGGAUAACUACGGGAAACGGUGGCUAAUACCGCGUACCAUAGGAUGAUCCCAUGUGGGAUUAGGUAGUUGGUGAGGUAAAGGCUCACCAAGGCGACGAUCUCUAGCUGGUCUGAGAGGAUGACCAGCCACACUGGGACUGAGACACGGCCCAGACUCCUACGGGAGGCAGCAGUGGGGAAUAUUGCGCAAUGGGGGCAAGCCUGACGCAGCCAUGCCGCGUGAAUGAAGAAGGCCCUAGGGUUGUAAAGUACUUUCAGUAGGGAGGCGUUACCGACAGAAGAAGCACCGGCUAACUCCGUGCCAGCAGCCGCGGUAAUAC
rnacentral:rRNA from 1 species